AUUGAACGCUGGCGGCAUGCCUUACACAUGCAAGUCGAACGGUAACAGGUCUUCGGAUGCUGACGAGUGGCGAACGGGUGAGUAAUACAUCGGAACGUGCCUAGUAGUGGGGGAUAACUACUCGAAAGAGUGGCUAAUACCGCAUGAGAUCUACGGAUGAAAGCAGGGGAUCGCAAGCCCUUGUGCUACUAGAGCGGCCGAUGGCAGAUUAGGUAGUUGGUGGGAUAAAAGCUUACCAAGCCGCCGAUCUGUAGCGGGUCUGAGAGGACGUUCAGCCACACUGGGACUGAGACACGGCCCAGACUCCGACGGGAGGCAGCAGUGGGGAAUUUUGGACAAUGGGCGCAAGCCUGAUCCAGCAAUGCCGCGUGCAGGAUGAAGGCCUUCGGGUUGUAAACUGCUUUUGUACGGAACGAAAAGCCCUGGGUUAAUACCCUGGGGUCAUGACGGUACCGUAAGAAUAAGCACCGGCUAACUACGUGCCAGCCGCCGCCGUAACAC
rnacentral:rRNA from 1 species